CCUGGUGGUAAUAGCGUUUCUGAAACACCCGAUCCCAUCCCGAACUCGGCCGUGAAAAGAGACUGCGCCAAUGGUACUGCAUCUUAAGGUGUGGGAGAGUAGGUCACUGCCAGGU
rnacentral:rRNA from 2 species